rnacentral:tRNA from 1 species
UUUCCUUAGGUGUUUGCACAAGAAGAUUUGAAUUUCUAGGAGGUUUUUUCCAAGGAAAA